rnacentral:misc_RNA from 1 species
UCUCCGUUGGUGAACCAGCGGAGGGAUCAUUACCGAGUUUACAACUCCCAAACCCCUGUGAACAUACCUAUCGUUGCCUCGGCGGUGCCCGCUCCGGCGGCCCGCCAGAGGACCCCCAAACUCUCGUUUUAUACAGUAUCUUCUGAGUAACACGAUUAAAUAAAUCAAAACUUUCAACAACGGAUCUCUUGGUUCUG